CCAGCCUCCAGCUCACCAGGAUUUAUUGGACUCCUUUGGGCCAAGCCCUGUGAUUCCCACUGGCAACCCAGCAGGGACCACGUGAGCCUGCCUCAUGUUCUGGGCUGAGGGACAGAUAUCAGCCUAAUGACCAUCCGGGCCGCUGUGAAAACACGGCCACAGCCAUAGCUGCAGGAGAGAGCCACACAGACAAGCCCGGAAAGGGAACGGGCAGGCGGGAGGCUCAUAGGGCCAUCUUGGCUCAGAGUGACCAGCAGCAGAGGCUGCAGCAGGCCUGGGGUACACAGGAGCCUGCUUGGGAGGAGAGAGAGGAAAGCAGACUGGGCACAACCCCACACCUUUGGGACUCGACCCAGCUGCAGAGGCUCUGCAGGACCUUGAGAGCAGACCACAGAGCAGACGGAGCUGCCUGGAGCCCAGGACUGAGCUUCUGUUCCCGACGCAGCCAGUACCCACUGUGCCCACUCCUGCGGGCAGGGAAGGCCCUCCAGUUCGUUUAGAAGAUGUUUAUUUACCGGGCAGUGAGCACAUGGACGUCACGGAGCCCCACUUAAAGACAGGACUGAGGCACGGGGACCCAGAAACGAGCCCCGAGGCUUGGCUGGCCCCAGGGCCCGAGGUGCUAAGAAGCAGGCACAACGGGAGACGCCAAUGAAACCGCACCAUGCCUGGAUCUCGGACUGAAGAGCUCAGCCACGCUUGGCACCGCGGGCAGUGACAGCAGAGGCGCUACGCUCAGUCCAUGUGAGCCGGGCCGAGCUGAGAGCUGGAGUCCACAACACACGAGCAAAUGCCUUCAGCCGCUCCGCUCACAGCAGCCCGGCCCUGGGCUGACCCCUGCCCACGUCAGCCCCCAGCCUGCGGUGAGAUCCCUCAGGGAACAAGGCGGGGGAGAGAAGGGGUCAGACAGGACACUGCAGAUGGACCACGAGAGCUCCGUGGAGCACAAGAAGCCAACCCGAGCGGCUGCACGGACUGACGCUGGCAGCGCCCCCCAGUCUGCAGAAGCUGGGAGAGCCGUGUGCAGAGACCCCUGCCAGGAAGGACUUGAAUCUGUGAUCCUCCGGCCUCAGUCUCCCAGAGAACUGAGACCACAGGUGUGUGGCAGCAACCCCAGCUAGCACGAUGCUUUCCAGGGUCACCUGCAAGGCACUGCUGCGGGCAGGAUCGCGGGACCCUGGGCCAGCGGGUGGCGGAACCCAGAUUCCUCUCUCCUCCCCUGCUGGGGCAGGUAGCUUGCUCAAGGAAGUUUUCGACUAUUACAACUAAAACCACUGCCGCUGUGCUUACAGGAUGCUGCACGUGUCCUGUCGGGUGACACAGAGCCGCCUGGCCCCACAGCUGGCAGUGGGGACAGAACGGUUAGAAGAAGAAAUGCAUCUUGAGGCUUGACUCUUGUGGAGAUGCUUUUUAUCACCCAGGGGUAGCGGACGGCCAGGUGUUUCUUUGCAUGUAGUUUUGAGCCAGCAGUGACAGGGCUGCAGGCGCCCUUCUGCCAGCUGGGGUACAGUGUGCCCCUCCACUUACCCUUUCACUCCGGCCUGAAUUGAGAGUCAGCUGUAGACAUGAUCCGACUUCACCCCGACCCUCCCCGCAAGGAUCUCCUGCCAUCACACACACCCACGCGCACCCACACAUGCACACGCGUGUACUGCGCUAACAUCACUUCAGGACUUUUCUCAGGGCCAUUAUCAAGUCCAGGCAUACGGCUCCCGCCCACAGCUGCCCAGAGUGCCGGGUCCUCGUGUCCUCGUGACUGGCCACUCUGAGGGUGACAGGCCCGUGUCAAGCAGCAGGUCCUUCACUCUGGGCUUGUCUGCUGCUUCCUCCCAGUGAGCUUGGCUUCUGCAUCUCACGGGGACAGGGACGAGGCGGUGCUGCAGUCCUGUGUGUCCUCUCUGGUGACACACAGCCAUGAGUCGUCCCACUGCUGGAAAACGGGGACAAGAGAGGAUCCCACCCCCACAGAGCUGUCACAAGGGUUACCGAUCUGCAGCCUGAGGCUCACUUUGUGAUUAGCAUCUUCUUGGAGGGAGGUACCCAGCAGAAGAAACGCAGGGCCACCCAGCCCAGACCUGUCCUGUGGCCAGUCGCGCCCUGUGUCCCAGAACUUACACCCAGGGAGAGACGUGGACAGAGAGGAGCUGGAAUUCUAGUUGGACCAGGCCCCGGGCCUGUGGGUGCUGGCUCAGCCAGAUCCCCAAGUUGAGCAAGGAUUCCUGGGGAGCCAGGGGGCUUUUGGCUGUCCUCUGGGGUCCAGGGCGCUUGACUGGCAUCCAGUGGGUGGGGGCCAGGGAUGCUUGUAAUGGCCUACAGUACACAGUGCAGCCCCAGGACAACGCGUGGUCGCACUCCAAAUCCCUGUGCUCAGCCAGAGAAGUCCCAGUCCACACUGAAGUCACAACCACAGGCAAAGCUGGGGUGGAGAGGUCCCCAGCUCUCUCCUGCAACUCACUUCUGCCAGGGCCCACCUGGCUGCAAAGAAAAGACAGUUGGGGACCCUCCAGCAGCACCCAGGUCUGAGGACAGUUCACAUUGCACAAAGGGGGCUCUGUCCCCCAAGUCUGGUGGUUUUGUUUGUUAUUUGACUUCACGAGGGUUCAAAUCUGCCUCACCAAAGCAGGUUUAAGGAUGUCACAACUGCCAGCAGUCACGGCCCAUGCCUGUAAUCCCAGCACUCAAAAAAGUCAAAACGAAAACAAAAUAAAACCAAAAAAAAGGAUAUUGCAACCUCUGGGGAGCUGGGGUGGGGACCCCCAGGGGUGUCGGGAGUCAUUUUGGCAUAUAUAUAAAUUAACUAUGAUGAUGGUAACGGACAUAUUACAACACACUGGAUAAAACAGGAAGCCAUCCGUCCAGCUGCUGAUAAAAAUAAAUAAUUGAAAGUUUGAUGACAUUUAAGAUAUUUACAUAGUUACGAAGUGCAUCCCCUCGAGCACUGACUAAUUUCACAGGAGUAAAAGAACCCUGCAGAUGGGAAGCUGGCGGGUAGCUCCUCUGCAGAGUGGUCCAGGUGGGGCCAGCACCCAGCGGUCGGACGGGAGGGAGGAACGCAGCCUCCCCGCAGUCAACCCACGAGGCGCCUUGCAGACCAGCUCCCCGGCAUCCUGCAAAGCACAAGGCAGGCUGGGUGUAGUCAGGGUCCCGUGCUGCAUAGCACACGGGAGGCCCUGGGUGCAUCCUCAGUACAGCGGCGGGGCGAGGGGUGGGUUUUCCCAAGGUCAUGAGGGUCAAGGACAGGCUGCAGCACUGGUCCAGCUGAAAGCGGACAGAGGCAAGGUGGCAACAUGUGACUUCAAAUCAGAUCCUCUCACUGCGGGCAGGAGGGCACCUGGGGAACCUUACGGAUCUGAGCAGGUGGUAGCAAAGUGUGGGGUUCGUUUCCUGAUGCUGGCAGAUCCACUGGAGUGAUGUGGGCGGCACCCUCUUUUGCAGGCACUGUAUAUCAAAGCACUAAGGGAACCUGACGGAGGAUCGUGACUUAUCCUCCAGCCACUCAGGAAGAAAAUGCUGUCUUUGUGUGGGAUUGGUAAUUUCCCUAUCAAUUUGGGAUCUUUCUCAAAAAGAUUUUGUUGUUGUUUUGAAACAGGAUCUCACUGUGUAGUUCAGGCUGGCCUCGAACUCCUGGCGCUCCUCCUGCCUCAGCCUCCCCAGUGCUGGAAUUACAGGUGUGCACCAUCACGCCCAGCUCAGCGAUUAUUUUUUUCAAACAUGAGUUUGGGGGUGCAGAAUGAGACAGAGGUUUAAAUGCCAUUCAUGGGAAUGAGAACAGAUGCUGGGCGCCUGUGCCGUGACUCAGCAGGUUCACCGGGAGCACCUCGAGUGAGGUGCAGCUUGUGUCUGUCAGGAGCUUUGGCCCUGCAGCACCCUCUCGGCCUGGUUCUAAGACGCUGAGAGGAGGAAACCAACUCAGUGUGUGCGAGCCUCGAGAGAGACGGUGACUGACACAGCGUCUGCUGAACAGCUGCGGUGCGCACAGCGCCCGGCCCGUGUUCGGGCACGACACAGACUCAGAGAAGCCAGGUGCGUGCAGGCUCGGGAGGCUGAUGCAGGAAGAGCACGAAUCGAGCCCCGCCUGGGCAACGUGGUGCCUUAGUGAGACCCUGUCUCAUUCAAUCAAUCAAAAGCAAUCAGGCCGGGGGUGGAGUUCGGUGUGAAGGUCUUGGUUCAAUUCCCGGUAUUACAAAAAAAUUAGAGAUGAGAGAAGCCAGACACAGGGUGCCCACGGCGGGAUUCUUUUUAUUCGAAGCACAGACACUCAUUUACCAUUAGAAGUCACGGGGACCCAUGACAGCCUCAUCCAACAACCGGAGAGGUCGCUCAGCCUGCACCUGAGCCCAGCGGGAAAGGCAGGAAGGGUCCCUCUGCCUCCAGAGAGUCGCCGAGGUGAGUGGACGACGUGAGGGACAGGCGCCCGGUGGCUGUGACCCCGGCCCCGUGCCCUCUGCUCCACAGCCCGCUGACCCUGCCCUCCAGGCCCUCUGCGGAGCCUUCCCCUUGCCAGGGCUCCAGAGCUGGGGCCGGGAUCUGGUGACAGGGAUAAAAAUAAAAGCUCCCCAGUCACUCCCAGCCUCCACCUCGCCUCACAGAGGUCCCAGCCGGGAUGGCCCCAGGCAGCCUGGCAAAGGUGCCCCCAGGCCUGGCGCUGAGGACUCAGUGGAGCAGGUGGUGGCGGGUGGUGGCAGCACAGGGCAGAGGGGUUAUUCUGGGUGGCGCAGGGCAUCUGGCCCCAGGCCAGCGACCAACAUGCACUGCAAGCUGCAGCAGUGUCUGACCCUCUCUGGUUCCAAAUUCAGGGGCCUCUCAGGGGGUCACACACAGGGGCUUGGAGGGCAGGACUUUGAGGUUAGCAUAGAAGUACCCAUUGCUUUCAACGGGCUGGAGCAAGCCUGACCUGACCCAUAAACACAGAGCUAUCGGAAUCACGGGGAUGGCCCCGAAGACAGGAAAGAUACGUUCCCAGCAGUCUUCGUGUGCUUUCCUGACGCAAUGGCAGCUCAUUACAAACCUCCUUCCACCCGAUGGAAAUUCUCCUGAAGCAAAGAGCUGGUCUGUGCUCACAGAGGACAGCUUCACAGAAGCGUCUCUGACAAGGAAGCACUGGGCAUCACUGAAAAUGCAAAUCACAGAAACAGCUCAUACGGGUUGAUUCAGUUCUGUCGAACUUCUUUCAGUUAGGUUCAACUGCCAGGAAUAGGCAGCCCAAAUGACAGGGACCUCAACAAGCAGAGAUUUAUUUUCUCUUGUGUAAACAAGCCCAGAGUGAGCCAGGCAGGGCCUGGUGUGGCUGUUCUACUGCCAUCAAGUGCCUUUUGUCCUUUACUGCCAUGCAUGAAGUACACAGUUCCCGUGCUUCAGUAUUUGCCUCAUGGUUCAAGAUGGCCCCUGCAGAUCUGGCCAUCACAUCUGAGUUCCAGGAAAGAAACAGGCAAAGGGAAUGUGCCUCACAGUUGAAUUAGCCCCUGUAAAGAAUUUCUCUGAAAGCCCCACCUACAACUUCUGUUUAGCUCAUUAGUCAGCCCUAGCUGCAAAUGAAGCAGGAAAGUAGGUUCUUCAUCGCCUGCCUGCCCCUGCUGGCAGAGCAGGAGACCCCUUGCCCAGGUGAAGGAGGGCAGUAAAUAUGAAAACCCCGGAAGUUAACGGCUGCUGUAGACACAGUCUCCACCGUCGCCCUGUUUACAGGAGGAGAAAGUGUGGCCCAGCGAGCCCACAUUGCAGGGCCAGGAGGAGGUGGAGCGGCGUUGGGGCGGGCAUCAUGAUGGUCUCACUCAAGGAGAUGGAGGCCCUGAGAGGGCAGGAAAGUGCCCGAGGCCACACAGCAGGCGUUACAGGGGCAGCGCUGGACCUGGAAUUCUGGGCGCUUCGCGUUCCUUCUGUUACUGACAUUCUGCAUUCUCUGGCCCUGCCAGGGGCCAGGCAUUGCUUAGGAAAUCAGUGAAAAAGAAAA